rnacentral:lncRNA from 10 species
GGGCCUUGUAUCAGAACUACCAAGUGGGAGGGACAAAGGACAAACAUGAGGCUGCCUCCUCCUUGGCUGGCAGCUUCUCUGGGGCAGAGAGAAUGACAAAGAGCAGGCAGCUGGCCAGCACGGGAGAGCGGCCAGACAGCCCCCGCUGCACAGACCUGUGCCCUGGCCCCUCAGGUCCUGCUCCUGCCUUGCCUGUGAUGGGACCACUUGCAAAUCUCUGCAGUGACAGGAGAGAGCCUGGGGGGGAGGGGCAAGAAGGAAGACACAAAGUGCCGCCCCUUGCCUUUUUAAAAAAGUAAUCUCUAAUUACAUGUCAUGCUAAGUAUGUUUUCCUUGCAAAAAAUUACAGCACACAUAAAGUACUGCUUGGAUCUUCAACACGUAUGUCCAUGCUGUUCGGCAAUCUGCUUGAUUUCACACAGUAGAAUGUUUUCUAGAUCUUCCCGGCCAUCCCAGAUUCGACACAUCUCUCUUCCCACCACCCUCCGUUCUCUGCUCUGCACAGACAGCGAGACGCAGCCUCUGCUGAGGCAUGUUUAGGACGUUUGUGUUUCUUUGCUGUUACAGGUCCUGAGGCAGGGAAGCCCCUGUACCUGUCACCUCUGCAGAUCUGGGAAUUUCUCCAGCAGAUGCUGGUACACCCCAUUUGUGCUUCAUCAACACACCAGCGUCACCAGGUGGGAAGCGUGCCUGUGAGUGUUCUCCACUUCCCUCGUGGGGCCACUGCCUGCCCACACUGGCCUUCUCCCAUGCCAGGGGUAACUGGCUCCUACCUGGUGGGCUCUGUGCUGAGAGGCUCAGGCUCAGCACAUCUCUGCCAGGACACAGAGCCUGGUAGCCCUGUCCUGCUGCACAGUUGGGGCCACACCUUUGGACACCUGCCCUCUGCUCUCCAUGUCAGAUCCUGAGCAGGCUCUUCCCAGGCACAAGGGUCCAACUCUGAGCCCACCUCCCACCCACUGGAACUGAAUACCCAUCAGGCUCGCCCAGCUGCACUGGCCAGACCUGGGGACUCAGGGAGGCUGCCCAAACUGCCUCUAACUCCCAAUUUUCCCUUAAGGAGGCAUUUGCUUCUUGCCCUCUUAUGGAGAGCACUGAGUCACCCAUGAGUUGUUUUGAAGCUGCCACCCAGAACAAUCAGUUCUCCAGCCUGGAAGCUGAGCCCUCUGAGAUUUCCUGUCCAACAGCGGCCGGGUUCCCUCGCUAGGAAGUCUGACGUGACUCAGAGGCUUUCUAGAGCAGAAAAUGGCAGGACGACCCAAACCUUUCUUCCAGCUGGGCUCUGCAGAUGGCCCAAGGCUGGGGCAGGAACCUGGCAAGGUGGCUCCUGUGCACACCUCCUCACCCUCCCUGUCUUGGGGCUGAUGGAGUGACACUCACUGGAUGGAAGAGAUGGCUGAACCUGUAUCCUGGAUGUACCCGCUGGGGCCUGCCAUGCUUUGGAGGGGCCAGGAGGCCCCAUUACCUAUCCCUGGAGGUGCAGGGACCCCAGGAGGGGCAGGGGCAUUUCUUUUUCUUUUUUUUUUUUUUAAGACGGAGACUCACUCUGUUGCCCAGGCUGGAGUGUAGCGGCAUGAUCUCCGCCGCCCAGGUUCAAGUGAUUCUCCUGCCUCAGCCUCCCAAGUAGCUGGGAAUACAGGCGUGCGCCACCACGCCUGGCUAAUUUUUAUAUUUUUUUAGUAGAGACAGGGUUUCACCAUG